rnacentral:sRNA from 1 species
CUGAUAGACCCUGAAAAAUUGAAGUCAUUUGUGUAUCCACACUACAGGUGCAACACACUGCAAGAAGCUUCCGCAUACAGACUUGUCAGUGUGCCUCAAAUCUGACAAGAGAAACCUCCUCUAGAUAAAGAGGGGAGUUCAUUCUCAAUGGCCCAUUCAGUGUUAGGUCUGU